rnacentral:rRNA from 1 species
UACGAAGGGAGCUAGCGUUGCUCGGAAUUACUGGGCGUAAAGGGCGCGUAGGCGGCCAGUUUAGUCAGAGGUGAAAGCCCAGGGCUCAACCCUGGAAUUGCCUUUGAUACUGAUUGUCUUGAGUACGGGAGAGGUGUGUGGAACUCCGAGUGUAGAGGUGAAAUUCGUAGAUAUUCGGAAGAACACCAGUGGCGAAGGCGACACACUGGCCCGUUACUGACGCUGAGGCUCGAAAGCGUGGGGAGCAAACAGG